rnacentral:rRNA from 1 species
GACGAACGCUGGCGGCGUGCUUAACACAUGCAAGUCGAACGCUGAAGCGCCCAGCUUGCUGGGAGUGGAUGAGUGGCGAACGGGUGAGUAACACGUGAGUAACCUGCCCCUGACUUCGGGAUAAGCCUGGGAAACUGGGUCUAAUACCGGAUAUGACUACUGGCCGCAUGGUCUGGUGGUGGAAAGGGUUUUACUGGUUGGGGAUGGACUCGCGGCCUAUCAGUUUGUUGGUGGGGUAGUGGCCUACCAAGACGACGACGGGUAGCCGGCCUGAGAGGGCGACCGGCCACACUGGGACUGAGACACGGCCCAGACUCCUACGGGAGGCAGCAGUGGGGAAUAUUGCACAAUGGGGGGAACCCUGAUGCAGCGACGCCGCGUGUGGGAAGAAGGCCUUCGGGUUGUAAAGCACUUUCAGUCGUGAGGAAGGUAGUGUAGUUAAUAGCUGCAUUAUUUGACGUUAGCGACAGAAGAAGCACCGGCUAACUCCGUGCCAGCCGCCGCA